rnacentral:rRNA from 1 species
CCGCCGGCGACCGGCGCACGGGUGAGUAACACGUAUGCAACCUGGCCGUGACAGAUGGAUAACCGGGAGAAAUCCCGCCUAGUACAACAUAAUGCCGGGAGGGGACAUCCCUGCCGGCCAAAGGGGCGACCCCGGUCACGGAUGGGCAUGCGGCGCAUUAGGUAGUUGGUGGGGCAACGGCCCACCAAGCCGACGAUGCGUAGGGGUUCUGAGAGGAAGGUCCCCCACAUUGGAACUGAGACACGGUCCAAACUCCUACGGGAGGCAGCAG